rnacentral:tRNA from 2 species
UCUAGCUCAGUCGGUAGAGCGCUGGCCUUUUAAGCCAGUGGUCGUGGGUUCGAGCCCCACGG